UGGCUAGGGAUAAUGUGGUUGAUGUUGGCGCCGGAGGUGAUGCAGCUGUUGCCAUGGACAGGAAGUGGCCCACCGAAAACAACAAAGUGGUGAAGCCAGCUCAAUCGCUUGACCAUUCCAGCAGCUUCAUCCGCUAAAUGUUCAGACUGCCUGCUCGCAUAUGGCAUAUGGCGGAGCAUUUGUGGCUGUCAGCGGGCGACACUUUCAUUGAUUGGUUCAGCUCAUGACCAAAUUUAUUGGCUUAACAUUUGUUGAAUACACCGAAAAACACGAAAAUCUCCAAGAGAACGAGAAAUGAAGAGGCUACACACGAACCUAAGAGCGAAGCAUUCACUCGCAUGGCGAUUGAGGUUAUUAUUUAAUGUAGCUAACAAAUAUACAACCAAUUCAGAAUAUAAUAAAAAAUAAAUUAUAAUUAUAAA